GUUUUCUGACCUAUAAAAUGGGAACACCCAAUCUCGUCUAAUCUUGGAAGCUAAGCAGGGUCAGGCCUGGUUAGUAAGUGGAUAGGAGACCAUCUAGGAAUACCAGAUGCCGUAGGUG
rnacentral:rRNA from 1 species